UGUCCCUCUCGGAGCUUUUUGCGGUCUGGGCUUGCUGUUCCUCCCCCCUGCUCUCAGGAAGCCCUUACCCCAAAAAGGAUCUGCGGGGGGUC
rnacentral:pre_miRNA from 1 species